GUCUGCGCGCUCACUCGGCACUCUCCGCAUACCGUCACACGUGUGUCUGUGUGUGUGUGUAAGCAUCAGCCAUAUACACAGACACAGCUGUCAUUCUCCACCACCACCAGCACUGCGACGCAUGUGGAGAAACCCCGCACUCCUUCCGUUUUCGUGUCGGUGCAAUCGAUGCCAUUCCAUCAGUCACUGCCAAGGGUGCCGGUACCACGCGCUUCGCAGCACCGUCGCUUGAGCGAACGGAAGUAGACACACAGGAUUGUAGACGUCGACUCGGCCGGCCAUCGUUCACCUGAUACGCACGCGUGUGCAACGAAUUUAGCGCACCGGCACGACGGCGAUACGGCGUGAGCGCUCCACCCAAAGAGGGCCAAUCGAGGGUGCAACGAAGCGCGAGACAGCGGGAGAGUGUGCGAGUCAAUAUGGAUAACGUUCUGUCUCACGGACGCAGGUACCUAUCUGAUCUGCGCUGGCUCCUCUGCAUGUU
rnacentral:misc_RNA from 1 species